UACGGGGCUUGAGUCUUGUAAUUGGAAUGAUGGGAAUCUAAACCCCUUCCAGAGUAUCAAUUGGAGGGCAAGUCUGGUGCCAGCAGCCGCGGUAAUUCCAGCUCCAAUAGCGUAUAUUAAACUUGUUGCAGUUAAAAAGCUCGUAGUUGAAUUUCUGCUGUUUCGUUGACUGCGUUUGGCGUUUGUCAUCGUUGCGGCUUGGUUGGGUUUCGAUUAUUCGUUUCCCGGCGUUUACUUUGAGAAAAUUAGAGUGCUUGAAGCAGGCUUUUGCCUUGAAUACUUUAGCAUGGAAUAACGGAGUAGGACUUUGGUUCUAUUUUGUUGGUUUUAGGAGCCAGAGUAAUGGUUAAUAGGAACAGUUGGGGGCUUUCCGUAUUUAAAACAAAGCUAAGUAGACGCACCGUCACGCUCCUCUCACUUCACUUCACACCAAUACGAGAGAUGCGUUGGGGGCAUUCGUAUUUAAACCCCC
rnacentral:rRNA from 1 species